AAAAUUAUUUUUCUUUGGUGGUCAAAUGAAAAAGUCAUUCUGCUUUUCCAAUGUCUCUCCACUCCAGUAUUUCACAUGUUUUCUCAGCACAGAUUUUUUUCCUUGCUUGAGCCUCCCUCUCUUAGAUGUGUGGAAGGAAUAUAAACAACUUUGUCUUUCACCUAAUACAGGGAAAGCCUACUAUCCAGACAGUGUUGUUCCUGAAGACUGGGAUGACUAGUGUUAUGACAGCACAACAAUUUUCCUGUCAUAAUAAUAGUAAUAGUAAUAGUGGGGAGAUAUCUGCAGAGACUUAAAAGUACACAAUUUUAAAUAUGUACAAACAAUAUACAUGGUGUGGAAGAUGGAGAGGCAGGAGCUGGCUCACCGUUCAGGAGACACUGGCUUUUCAGAACAGACAACGAUCCCAGAAGAUCUCAGCCACUUCAUCCAUGAGACUGAACACCUGAUGUAAAUCUCUUACCAGGUGGCUAACCAACAGUGCUUGAGCUACGUGAAAUGCAAGCAGUUAAGGUGUAAUCUCAUGCCAGGACUGCAGCAUGGUUAUGGAAGAAGGCUACCUAGUGGCUUAACCUACUGCUGAAGGUCCGGAGAAUAUAAUUCAUCUUCCACAAUGCCUAGACAUCACCAGCUACAUUUCUGGAGAUAUCCUGGAAAAUGAAACUCUGAAAACAUUCCAAGUGCUUCAGUGGGAUUAUUGUCUACGACAAGAUCCUCUUGGACAAUACACAGACUUUUGUGCACGUAUUGCCGUAAUACCCAAUAAAAAUCAAAGCCCUGGACCCUCAGGACUGCUCUGCUUGCUGUGCACAGUAUUUCAGAUGGGCUGGUAAUAUGUGGAAUCAGCACUAUCAGUGACAAAAAGUAACUCACAGCUUCUCACCCACAUUCUCAGUUUAAGCAUUCAUUGUUCUUUUGAAUGUGUUACUUUCUUACUUUUGAAGAAAGGUUUCCCAUGUACCAUACAUAGCACCUAGCCCUGCAAGAUGCUAAUCACUUUGCUAUAUUUUCGUGUUUGGACAAAACAGGUUAUCCUCUGAGACGCUAUUUCUGUUUUUUUAAGUCACAAAAGUAAAAACACUUUGUUAUUUAUUGUUCUUACUGGAAUUACCCUGUGGAAACAAUGGUUGUAUAGAAUAGUUAGGACACUGUGCAAGAUUAAUUGAUUACAGGAUCAGCCAGUACGCUCAAAGAGCAUUAGCUUUUCCCAAGAUAAGAAUCUUAUUACAAAUUAGAAGUGGGCUGUAACAGGCAGUGCUAGCUUUUGAACCCAGGCUCGGUGUCUGCUGCCACACUGCUGCUGAUUUGAGACUAAGCCUUAUGCAUGGGAGUGCUGUGAAGAAUGAUCACAUGCAAACAACACAAUUUCCUAAUGCAGAUGCGAUCAGUAUAAGAAAAGAAGAGCAUCCCCUGACUGAAAAACAUUAGGAAGACUGGUGACUGCUUUAGAAAUAAUCAAUAUGAGAAACCUAAAAGGUAAGCGUGUUGUUUUGGUUAGAGAGCCGGACCUAGGAAAACAGCAAGAGGAAUGGGAAAGUGAAGAAAACUGCAGAAGGAAGGGAGGCAAAAAGUUUAGUUUGUAACUGCAGAGGGCUUUUAUUCUUGUUAGUAUUAGAGGUUAGUAUUCUUUUUGGCUAUAAAGGAUAAUUUUGGUUACACUGAUCUUAUAUCGCUGAGACAAGGAGCUGGACGGAUUCUGCAGAAGAAAAGCGUGUGACUCAUGGAAAGAGUAACUAGUGAAGAACUUGCUCGACUUGAACUCUUGCUUAUAGGGAUUUUAUUUACCCCUGGGGAAGGGUGAAAUUUUCCAGUUUGGCAUAGAGCUAAACUACUUUACCAGUGAGAGAGAACUUGAAGCCUUCUUUGCUGAGAAGAUAAGCUUUCAUGAUACAGGAUAAAGGCUAACAUGUACUGAAGAUUAUUGCACAGCAAGAGAGGAAAAAGAUGCCUAAAGCAUGUUUCUUUUAACUAUGAAAACUUGUUAAUGGAGUAUUCAACACAUAUGUAGUACUUAACUAGAAGGUCAUAUUAACUCUUUUUCAAUACACAAGACAAACCAUCAUACAUUUCUUUACAGCAGACACAGCAAAAAAUAAAGAAAAAUGCUCCCUGCUUUGAGGAACUGAGAAUCCCUAGUAGCUCUUUCAACAAUGUGAUACCCAUAUUCUCAUUCACAAAAAGCUCCAUUAGACAAUUCAGUCAAAACUUUUUUUUUAUUUUUAUUCCUAAUGUGAAUAAUAAGCCACCUGCCUGGUAACAACAUUAUGGGCACUUAAAAAAAUUUGCUGUGGAAACAUUUGGAAAGAGUUACAUUCAGGAAAAUUACUUGCUAAAGAGGUUUAGUUUAAAUGCAAAUUCAGCCUCAGCUCAUCUGUACAAACAUGUGUUGUAAAGAAAGGGAAAAAAACCCCACUUCACUAAUGUGCUGAUCAGUGCUCUUAAUAGCAGUCUAAAACAUGCAUAAAUUGAGCAAAACUCCCCAGUUUCUCCAGAACAGGGCAGAACUUAAUCCUCAGGCACUGCCUGCCUGAAAACUUGAAGAUCACAGAGAGGAAGAGAGAUGAAAUGAGAUUUGGAUGCAGAUUCCAAACACACACUUUUAAUACAUGAGUUAUGAAUAUGGAUAUUUUUUUUUUGCAAAUCCUACCUCAAAUUAUGAGGGAAUAUUUAAACUGCUGUUGUGAAUCUUUUGUUCAGAGUAACUUAACUAUUUCUAUAUAUUAUAUCUAUAGAUAUAUAAUAUCUACUCUUUUGUAAAAAGACAUUGUUCUACCUAAUUGUCUUGUUAAAUCACCUAGAUCCUCUCUGCAGUAAAAACAAAUCUUAAGUUCUUUCAGAAGGAAAAAACCCACCUCAUUUUAAAAGUAAUAAAACGUAAUAACAGGUAGUAGGGGUGAAAGUUCCAUUUAUCAGCCCUAUCUUUGAGCAGAGCUAAAUCAUUUAGUAGAAGUCUAGUCUUCAAAAGAUACAUGAUAAUGUAGAUGACAAGAAGAGUGAAGAACUCUAUGAUUGUGGCUUGCAAAAGCUGCUUUAAAUAAUGAAACACUGAAGUUGAAAAUGUCAGCAUUUGAUGAACUGAACUGUAAAGAAUCACAAGAGAUUCCCGCAGACCCUGAGAAUGUUAUGUAGUGGAUCUUAAGCAAAACUGGCACUCAAAAAACCCACUAGUGUUUUUGCCAGUCAAUGCUAAGAACUUACAUAUGGUCUUUGUUCAGGUUCCCUCAACUGGAGAGGGAUUUUAAAUUCUCUCAAUUUAAAUAGUUGGCAGUCAUAAUUUCUAAUUUUCCUAAUUGCAAUUGCUUUUUAGUGAACUCUGCUUGAAAAACUCCUGCAAGGGACCUUGCUGGAAGUCAUCAAAUUUACCAUCCUGGAUAAGAAUCCUGAUCCUUGUCAGCCAUGGCUACAGCCCCACAGAAAACGAGGGGCAAGAUAGAUGAAUUCAGCUUAGAAGGAGUAUAGGAAUUACUUAUCUUAGGUCAGAGGUGGCCAUCAAUGUGCUUCGAAUAGGAAUAGACAAGAAGCUUCUGUACAGAGGUAGAUCAUUCUUUUUGUCUUCAGUUUACAUCUUUUCACUUCAAGAUUGUACAUACUCUGAUAGGUCAAAAUUGUGAUCCUUGAAAAUGCUAUGCUUGUUUUGAAAGAAAAGGAUAGAAAUCUGCAUUUUUUUUCCUGAAAAUUUUAAUCUUUAAUAUGAACAAAGCUAACCAAUUCAUCUACGCAUGGAUUCUGAAUCUAGAGUAUUUUCUGGAUUUUCUGUGUGCUGCUGGCUAAAAGUCAACACAAGUAAAUUAAGAAAAAGGAAGAAGGGCUACAUGAGCUGAAACUUCUUGCUACAAAUGCUUGCUUUCCUGGAUGACCCUAGUCUGGGCAGAUAAUGGCUCUACUUUUUACACCCCAACUACACGUGAUUCAAACAAGAAUCUAACUCACAGACAGACUAUUUAGCACUGAGGCACAUCUUCAGGUUAUUUCCAGAUAGGAAUACAGACGUGUGUAGCUAAAAGACUCUGUGCAUGAUGUUCCUAUCUGCUGCAUGCAAUAUGAUAUUGCCCUGCAAAUCUGUGUAUUCUAAUAAAGCAGCCUGCAGAUGCGUAGUGAGAGUGCCUGCUUUUGUGUGCAAAAGGCUUCUGAAGAGACCAUCAGCAGGCCUCUGCAGAGACACCACCUAUGCCAGAGACUGGAGCCCCACUGGGAGAACUGAGUGAGUGCCUGAACGAAGGAAGGAGUGACAGGCAGCCCCUCAGGUGGGCUCCCUUUGCCGGCAAUGAGGAGCUGCGGUUGUGUGACUCACCGGCUGGCUGUCACGGGAAUGUCUGAGAGCUGGACGAUGUUGUGGGCAUGCUGUGGACAGACCACAAGUUGUGCGCUGUUUAGAUUAAUCUGCUACUGCUUUAGGGAAGCACAGUAAAUUAUGAUGGCAAGCUUAAAACAAUCUGACAAUUAUAGAGAUUUAUUUUAAAUGCAGCUUUUAAGGGAGGAUACAAAUUCAUAAUUUUCAUAAUCAUCCUUUGUUUAGGCUCAGUGUCCUGAGCCCAACAGACGAACACUGUAAAACUGACUCUAACCAACAGGAAUGGAAAAAGGAU